rnacentral:rRNA from 1 species
UACCAGCACCCCGAGUGGUCGGGACGAUUAUUGGGCCUAAAGCAUCCGUAGCCGGUCCUACAAGUCUUCCGUUAAAUCCACCUGCUUAACAGAUGGGCUGCGGAAGAUACUAUAGGGCUAGGAGGCGGGAGAGGCAAGCGGUACUCAGUGGGUAGGGGUAAAAUCCGUUGAUCCAUUGAAGACCACCAGUGGCGAAGGCGGCUUGCCAGAACGCACUCGACGGUGAGGGAUGAAAGCUGGGGGAGCAAACCGG